rnacentral:rRNA from 1 species
UACGUAGGGGCCGAGCGUUGUCCGGAGUUAUUGGGCGUAAAGCGCGCGCAGGCGGCCUCGCGCGCCCGACGUGAAAUCCCUCGGCUUAACCGGGGAACUGCGUCUGAUACUGGAUGGCUAGAGUUUGGGAGAGGGAUGCGGAAUUCCAGGUGUAGCGGUGAAAUGCGUAGAUAUCUGGAGGAACACCGGUGGCGAAGGCGGCAUCCUGGACCAAUACUGACGCUGAGGAGCGAAAGCCAGGGGAGCAAACGGG